rnacentral:rRNA from 1 species
AGCGAACGCUGGCGGCAGGCCUAACACAUGCAAGUCGAGCGCCCCGCAAGGGGAGCGGCAGACGGGAGAGUAACACGUGGGAACGUACCCUUCAGUUCGGAACAACCCAGGGAAACUUGGGCUAAUACCGGAUACGUCCGUAAGGAGAAAGAUUUAUCGCUGAAGGAUCGGCCCGCGUCUGAUUAGCUAGUUGGUGAGGUAACGGCUCACCAAGGCGACGAUCAGUAGCUGGUCUGAGAGGAUGAUCAGCCUCACUGGGACUGAGAAACGGCCCAGACUCCUACGGGAGGCAUCAGUGGGGAAUAUUGGACAAUGGGCGCAAGCCUGAUCCAGCCAUGCCGCGUGGAUGAUGAAGGCCCGAGGGUUGUAAAGUCCUUUCGGCGGGGAAGAUAAUGACGGUAGCCGCAGAAGAAGCCCCGGCUAACUUCGUGCCAGCAGCCGCAGUAA